rnacentral:rRNA from 1 species
GUGGGGAAUCUUAGACAAUGGGCGCAAGCCUGAUCUAGCCAUGCCGCGUGAGCGAUGAAGGCCUUAGGGUUGUAAAGCUCUUUCGUGGGGGAAGAUAAUGACUGUACCCCAAGAAGAAGCCCCGGCUAACUCCGUGCCAGCAGCCGCGGUAAUACGGAGGGGGCUAGCGUUGUUCGGAAUUACUGGGCGGAAAGCGCACGUAGGCGGACUGGAAAGUCAGGGGUGAAAUCCCGGGGCUCAACCCCGGAACUGCCUUUGAAACUCCCAGUCUUGAGUUCGAGAGAGGUGAGUGGAAUUCCGAGUGUAGAGGUGAAAUUCGUAGAUAUUCGGAGGAACACCAGUGGCGAAGGCGGCUCACUGGCUCGAUACUGACGCUGAGGUGCGAAAGCGUGGGGAGCAAACAGGAUUAGAUACCCCAGUAGUCC